AUUGAACGCUGGCGUCAGGCUUAACACAUGCAAGUCGAGCGAGCGGCGGACGGGUGAGUAAUGUCUGAGAAACCGCCUGGUGGAGGGGGAUAACCACUAGAAACGGUAUCAUACACCGCAUACUCUAAGUUGUGCCCAGAUGGGUGUAGCUGGUAGGUGGGGUAAUGGCUCACCUGGGCGACGACCCCGAGCUGGUCUGAGAGGAUGAACAGCAAAACUGGAACGGAGACACGGUCCAGACUCCUACGGGAGGCAGCAGUGGGGAAUAUUGCACAAUGGGCGCAAGCCUGAUGCAGCCAUGCCGCGUGUGUGAAGAAGGCCUUCGGGUUGUAAAGCACUUUCAGCGAGGAGGCGUUACUCGCAGAAGAAGCACCGGCUAACUCCGUGCCAGCAGCCGCGGUAAUUC
rnacentral:rRNA from 1 species